CCUACGGGUGGCUGCAGUGGGGAAUAUUGGACAAUGGGGGCAACCCUGAUCCAGCCAUGCCGCGUGUGUGAAGAAGGCCCUCGGGUUGUAAAGCACUUUCAGUGAGGAAGAACGCCUGGUGGUUAAUACCCAUCAGGAAAGACAUCACUCACAGAAGAAGCACCGGCUAACUCCGUGCCAGCAGCCGCGGUAAUACGGAGGGUGCGAGCGUUAAUCGGAAUUACUGGGCGUAAAGCGCGCGUAGGUGGCUUGAUAAGCCGGUUGUGAAAGCCCCGGGCUCAACCUGGGAACGGCAUCCGGAACUGUCAAGCUAGAGUGCAGGAGAGGAAGGUAGAAUUCCCGGUGUAGCGGUGAAAUGCGUAGAGAUCGGGAGGAAUACCAGUGGCGAAGGCGGCCUUCUGGAUUGACACUGACACUGAGGUGCGAAAGCGUGGGUAGCAAACAGGAUUAGAUACCCUUGUAGUC
rnacentral:rRNA from 1 species